GGCUUCAAUGACAGUCUCUCAUGGUGUUUCUGUAGAGCACAUGCUUCCAAGAAGGAUGGCCACCAGACAGUACAGUUGCUCUGAACGGAGCCUGCGGUCUUCAUUGCCAGGAGAUCUCUUCCACAAGUUCCUCAGUGGCCUACUGAAGUGAUUCGGAUGCGACCUUUACCCACCGCCACCAGUUUCCCACCCGCUCCUCGAUCGAGUCGAGCUCUUUUUUUGAGGUAGGAUAAGGGCAGCGAUAGCCGUCGA
rnacentral:lncRNA from 1 species